rnacentral:lncRNA from 1 species
CUUGACAUUUCAAUUGAAUUAAAUUUCUUAACACGAAUGCACAUGACAUCCAUUAUACAUUCUACAAGAAUGCACACCACUGAAGUAAAUUUCUUAACAUGAAUCCUGGCAAAACCAUUCCCACGCUUGCUGCUAAACAUUUACAAAAUUAAAGAUUCUUCCACAGUGCAGUGAAUUUCUUGUUGCAGACUGAGUUUUAAUUCUUCAGAUCCUCUUGACUCGGUUGGAACAUCAAGAGCAAUCGACUGAUUGCAUAUACUUGCUACUGGUCCACAUCGCCUGAACACACUUCAUGGGACAUCAUGGGUUUGGAAUUAAUUGGAAAGUUGGUUCAGCUACGGGAUUAUUGGUAGAUGAUGCUCUUUUUCCUCUGUACUUGUAGUUGGUCAGAUCAAGAACUUGAACAAUCGUCUCAGUUAAACAACAAAAUCGAAGUACUAAUUUGAAGUUCAAAUAAAUGAUUCAACUUAUUCAAUUCAACCCAUAGAUCCAAAUUCUUUCACAGCUAUCCUUGGACCAAGCUAUGAUAUGGUAAAAGCAUACCUAAUCUUUAUAUGUAACAACCCACAAAAACCACACCAACCCACACUUCCACAUAUUCUGAAAAUAAUCUUCGCACUGUUAAAAUCACCCUUAAUAGAAAAAAGAAGAAGAAGAGAAUUUCGAAUUUGCUUUCGAACGGGCCAUCCAUUUGCACGCCAACGACUCCUUGUUCGAACUUCUGAAAUGAAAUGGAUGCUACUUCUUCACGCUUCAGUUGGACUCUUAGAGUGGUCAACAAUGGCGAGUGAGAGUUUCAACCAACUGUGUUUUUGGAUUUGAGGAUUAUGGUUUACAAUGUCACUAUGUGAGAACUGUGGUGGGAUUUCAUGUUUUGGUGGGUUUUCAUGAUUACACUCUGGCCAGACAUCAACGCCGAUGGUGUAGUCGGAAGUUGACCGGAGAUGGAGAAAGUGAGUGACAGGCCUCUCUACCAAGUUUUUGGGGGAAAAUGGAAAGAAAAGAAAUAACUGGCUAAGUCUUCCCCGG